UAGAGUUUGAUUCAUGCUCAGGACGAACGCUGGCGGCGUGCCUAAUACAUGCAAGUCGAGCGGAGAUUUGAAAAGCUUGCUUUUCAAAUCUUAGCGGCGGACGGGUGAGUAACACGUGGGCAACCUGCCCUUGAGACGGGGAUAACUCCGGGAAACCGGAGCUAAUACCGGAUAACACAUAUCUUCGCAUGAGGAUAUGUUAGAAGGUGGCUUUUAGCUACCACUCAAGGAUGGGCCCGCGGCGCAUUAGCUAGUUGGUGAGGUAACGGCUCACCAAGGCGACGAUGCGUAGCCGACCUGAGAGGGUGAUCGGCCACACUGGGACUGAGACACGGCCCAGACUCCUACGGGAGGCAGCAGUAGGGAAUCUUCCGCAAUGGACGAAAGUCUGACGGAGCAACGCCGCGUGAGUGAUGAAGGUUUUCGGAUCGUAAAGCUCUGUUGUUAGGGAAGAACAAGUACCUGUUAAAUAAGCAGGUACCUUGACGGUACCUAACCAGAAAGCCACGGCUAACUACGUGCCAGCAGCCGCGGUAAUACGUAGGUGGCAAGCGUUGUCCGGAAUUAUUGGGCGUAAAGCGCGCGCAGGCGGUUCCUUAAGUCUGAUGUGAAAGCCCACGGCUCAACCGUGGAGGGUCAUUGGAAACUGGGGAACUUGAGUGCAGAAGAGGAGAGCGGAAUUCCACGUGUAGCGGUGAAAUGCGUAGAGAUGUGGAGGAACACCAGUGGCGAAGGCGGCUCUCUGGUCUGUAACUGACGCUGAGGCGCGAAAGCGUGGGGAGCGAACAGGAUUAGAUACCCUGGUAGUCCACGCCGUAAACGAUGAGUGCUAAGUGUUAGAGGGUUUCCGCCCUUUAGUGCUGCAGCAAACGCAUUAAGCACUCC
rnacentral:rRNA from 1 species